UCUCUGAUUGACUUAUUUCCUGAGCAUUAAAUCUUUAGAAAGUUACUGAGUAGUGGCAAAAGGAAGAAAGAAAAAUGCGGUCUUAUUAGAAUUUGGAGACAGGGUUAAAUUCUCUGUCAUCCCUGUGGAAAUUUCCAAAAGGAAGAAAUAUGGGAGGUAGAUUUUUUUUUAGAGGUAGAUUUAUAAGCUAUUAUUCUUGAACUCUGAAUUUAAAAAAAUAAUAAACAAUCAAACAACACUUAUAUUCUUCCUGGUGAGGAAGACACACACUCAAAACCUAGUUGGUGAGAGAUUGGGUGUGAGUGUGAAAAUCAGACAAGAAAUGAAGAUUCCUACAAUGUUCCUGGAUUGGGUUGCCACUGACAGAUAUUAACAAAGUGAAACUGGAGGGAAGCCAUUAAAAAUGAGAUUUAGCAACAAGCUCUCCUAGGAACAUGUUGAACUGCAAGAUCCUUUGGAAUGUCAGAAAGGUGAGAUCCAAUAAGCAGUAGAGAAUUGAGUCCAGGACCCAGGUGGCAGAUACUUGCUCAUGUUCUCUGGGAAAGCAAGUAGGGGCAGAAAUCCCAUGCUGACACAGGGCUGUGUAAUGGUCUGAAAAGAUUUGGCAUAGCAGAACAAAUCUUGUACUAGAAUCUGGGGAUCUGUCUCACUGAGAGGUCUUGGACAAAAUACUCUCCCUUCCAGGGCCUAACUUCCUUGUAUGUGUGUGUUCUAGAUCAGUUUCCAAAUGGAUUUGCAUGGAAACUUAUGGGAUGUGCUGGAAAUGCAGGCACUCUUGAAUCCUGUCUUGCUUCUAUUUAAGUGACUGCUUAAAAAUCUGUCUCAUUGCUUGCUUGCUUCAUAGAAUUACAUUCAGGGAGGGGGAAAAUACCAUUUCUUAAUUAAAUAACAAUAAUGAAAAGUUUGAAAGCCACAGACCCAGGUGCUUGCUCCUGACCUGGCCAACUCUACCAUCACUAAGCCAUUUUUCUCAUUUCUGUCAUCUACUCAGAACUUGGUCACUCUAAUCAGAUGCUCCACUAUGACUUGGGAAGAAGAUCAUUUAUGCCACUGAGAAAAGUUUCCGGAGCACAUUUCAGUAUAGUAUACAUACUUCAAAUGCUGAACAAGCACUGAAAUAUGGGUGAGGUGCAAGUAUGCAGAUUUCACAAUAGCGUAAACCAAAAUUAUGGAAUUAUCUCUGAGAAAAAGAGGUGGUAUUGAAGAAUGGAAAGUAUGAAUGAGAGAGAAACAUCUUAAAAAUUAGAAAUAAUUGCAACCAGUUACUGGGAGACCAUAAGUUCUGAAACGGAAAGAUCUGGUUUUGGUCAAGAUUCUAUCACUCAUUAGCUGUCUGCUUUGGGCAAUUUGCUUAACUCCUCCAAUCUUUGAGUUUGUCCUUUUGGAAUUAACCCUAGCUUAACUCUGUAUUAACUCUAUCUUCUAGAGAGCUGAUGUCUUCACAUGAGAUGGUGUCAUCCACAUGAGAUGAUAGAGAUGAAAGUGCUAAGUAACUGGAAAUCAUUAGGCCUGGAUUAUUGAAAGAACGUUGGUUAUGUGGAUGGACAUAAUAUAUAUAGAUAUGGACACAGAAGAAUGUGUCAAGCAGAAUAUCAUGGUUAUAAUCUUAAGAAGCAUGAGACACUAUGCUAAAAUCUGGAUUUUCAAUAUAAAUAUUGGGUUUUGUUAUUGAAGUAGCAUAUCUUAGUAAAAAAAUAAUAGGAGAGAAGUAUAGAUCUAGAAUCCUGGAGAACUGGCUCUUCCAACUGUUCACUCUGUGACUAAAGAGAAAGCACUUAAUCUUUCUGUGUUUGUAGUUCCAUCUGCUAAGUAGCAGUAAUACUGGUCUGCAUAUUUCACAAGUUUUUUUAGUCACUUAACAAGCCUUCAUAGAACAUGGUAAAUUAUCUUCAAACUCUAGAAAAUGUAUUAUAGUGCUAAGUAUUCAUGUUGUGUACUACUAUACAUUUUCAAGAAAUGUUCUCAUUGCUCCUGUUUUCUAUUUCAACUUUCCCUCAUUUCAUAUAAUCUUGAAACCCUUUAUACAUGUCAUUUUAUUGUUUAUUUCUCUUCACUACACCUAUGAUUUUAUUUGGUCUCAAAUAUAGCCAUGCCGUUGUAUUUGCUAAGAAACCAGAGGAUUACUAUGCAAGACAGUUCUGGUAGGUGAGUUUCAGGGUAUAACUCUUCCAGCUGCCCAUAAAUCAAGGUAAUAAGGAAGCUUUUCUUGACAAAUAAACUUAACAUCCUAGCUUGGGUUAACAACAAAUCAUCAGUGAAAAGAUCAAUCUUGAGGAGGGUGGGACCCUGCCUUAUGCAUGUGUAUAUAUAUACGUGUAUGUGUGCCUCGGAGCAGUCACCCUCACUCCUCAUCACUAUGGAGAGUAUCACUGCUUUUGCCAUCUUUGCUCUUGUAGCCACCACAUGGGCUACGUCUCCACCUGGCGAGUUAAGACUCCUUUGAAUAGCGAUGGCUUUAUGUUAACUGCAGUUUGUUCAACCUUCAGUAACGAUAGAAUGUUAAAGUCAGAAGAAAACUUGAGACCUUAACUAUUUGGAUUGGCCUGAUUAGCAAAGAAGGGAUGGGGGGUCAGACCUUCUAGAAGAGGAAGAGAGACUGCGAAGAGGAAUAAAAAGAUAGUCAUGGGAAUAAAAGGUACAGCAUAAGGAAUAUAGUCAGCAGUACUGUAAUACUGUUUGGUGACAGAUGGGAGCUACAACAUAAUGUGGUGAGCACAACAUAAUGUAUAGACUUAAUGAAUCACUGUGUUGUACACCUGAAACUAAUGAAACAUACUGACUCGGCUAUACUUCAAUCUAAAAAAAGAAGAAGAAAAGGACUGUGGGCAACCUGCUUAGUUCCUGAUCCACACCAGGCUUCUGACUUGCCUUUCAGAAACAACUUACGCAGCUUUGAGACCUUCACCCAACCCUACCCUGGGCUUGCUCACAGGAAUUCCUGUGACAGCCCUUUCUCCAAUGACCAGGGAUUUCCCCCAUGUUGUUUUUGUUUUUGUUUUUGUUUUUUUAAUCAGAAUCACACAUAUUUCUGGCUUCAUCCUGAGUUGGCUCUGAGUAAAGAAGAGACAUCUCUUAGGUCUGGCCUGGGCCAGGGAUGGCAGAUAUGGGUUUUGGUUACUGUGAACAAUGAAUUCAGCCUUGCAUCUCUAACUGUGGAAUUUGCUCUUUCUCUGAUUCCUUCUCUUCAAAUGCUCUCAUGCCACUGUCUUCCGGUGAUCAAGUAGUGGGAAGAAAGUUAUAGGUGGACUGCUCCAAAUACAACACAAAAGGCUCUGAGAUUGCAUGCCCAAGGCACCUGGAUCCAAUAUGCGGCACAGAUCAUAAGACUUACAGUGAUGAAUGCAUGUUUUGCAUGCUAACUCGAAACAAAGGAUUUCAAGUCAGAAAACUUCAUGAUAAUAAAUGUGAUAUUGAGUGUACCCAAUAUUUGAUAUAUGUACCAUGGAAUACUUACCUCUCUGUGGAUCCGAUGGGCAGAGCUAUGCAAACAAAUUUUUAUUUUGCAAUGCUGCCGUGAAUAGUCGUGGUGCACUUUUUCUGGCAAAGCACGGACAAUGCUGAGUCUCCCUGAUGCUCAAGGGCACCGAGUUCCCUUUGGCAGCUUCCACGUAGAGAAUCAAUCCCUCUUGGAUGGCUAUGGGAGCAAAUAUAUGGAUUUCAUUCUUCAAUAAAAAAAUUCU